UAGAAACUAUAUUCGUUUUGAACCUUUUAAAAUAUUUAGAAUUUUCAUGAUUAUGUAACAAAUUGAGUUAAUGAAAACAAAUUAAAUUUUAAUUUUUUAAAUAUACAUGUAUAUAUUAUACAUGGCUUCGGACAAAACGUCUAGCUCUACAAGUCGUCUUCCUUCAAACCACGGGGUUAGAUCUAGUUAACGUCAAUAUAAGCUACUACUUCGUUUACAAGAUCAACAGUACUUCCGCGGCCAGAGUAGCUAGUGUUGCUUGCCUCGAUCGUCUCCAUUCUAUUUUUCAAGAAAUUUAUGUGUCGCACACGUUGUGACUUUGCACCUUUUUUCUUUUUCAUACGUCUGCUUCUCGCAUACAUUCCGAAGUGUUUCAUAUUUUUUUUUACAUUAGUUACUACCAUUUCCGCAGCAGUGUUUCGUAAAGUUAGUAAAAAUAAUUUGGAAUAUAAAAUAGUUUUGAGAGAUAAAGCGUACUUAGAUCUACAUGAAAAUGCUUAGAAAAAUUAAACAUUCCUAGCAUGGACGUUAAUAUUUCACACUGCUAUAGUAAAUAUCAACAAACGAUCAUCAUCUUACACUUGCACCAAGUCAUUGUUUACGCACGAUUAACUUUCUUUUUGUAAAUGCCUAGAUGCAAAUUGCAUGUACAUGUAGGAGCGACUUUGGUGACUUAUUGGCUAUACUAUCAAAAUUACUGUGGUGCAUACUAUAUAUAUAACAUAUACAAUGUAUAUGAAACGGAUAUGGUGUCCGGAUAGGGCCAUUUGCAAAAGCGUGACUGUGCGUUAGUUACAACACGCCGUCACGCCAACAAGCAACGCGCCUUCGCGCUCUCACGCCAACAAGCAACCUUUUCUGCACACUGGACUCGUUCGCUUUGAAAUUUGAUGUGAUACAUAGAAUUAAUGUAUAUUGUACCAGGUGUAGAACUAAAUUCAAAUUCAGUUGUUUUUUUUUAAAUCUAAACAUAUCUAGUUCGAUUGAAAGCACGUUCGAUUUAAAAAGGCUAUGUUUGGGGACAUUGCUCAAAACAUAAUUUUAUCUUUUACAAUUAUGUUUUCGGGGUGGGGGUGGCUUUAUUUAUUGAGUAGGCUCAUAAAAUCUUUUCUUAGGGUAUCAGCCAUAAUAAAGUAAUACAAUUUGAAAGGGGUUCAAUUAUAAUUCAAGUCUUUUUCAGUAUAUUAAUUUAUGUUUUUUUCUUCAUUUGUGAAACAACACACUGUCACAAUCGGAGAUGGAGGGGGGGGGGGGUGACAAAUCCGGGAAAAGGGAUGGUACCAACAGGCACUUGCUUAAUAUUUUUACUAAAACUUACUAUGCCAAAUAUUAAGCAAGCACCUGUACGUUAAUACAUUCAUUCACAAAAUCCACCGUUUGAAAAUACAUAAUGUAUUAGUAUGAGAUAUUAAUAUGAAAUGGUGGAUUCUGAGGAUGACUUCCUGUUCUCUCUGUAUAAUUUCUGCUUCCCUUGUUUUUGAUGUUAUUAAAUGCUGACCUCCUCAUAACAUUGCUUAAAAUAUUUUCCGUAUUCCAUUCCGUUCAGUUUUCUGUUCCGCGUUUUAGCAACACCCAUUAAUGACAUUCCAAAUUAGCUCUUUUACAGUCAAUGACUUUUUGAAAAUACAGUAGAUCUGGGAGUGGGGAACGUAUCCCGGAAGCGACCCAACCUAUCCAGUGGUAGUAAUCCAUUCUUUCACUAUAUCAUAUCUGAGUGUUUUGCCUUUCAAUUCAUAGAAAUUUGUUUUUGAUAGGUUGUGUUGUAACCCUCCCUUUUUUUUUUUUUUUUUUUUUUUUUUUUUGGAGCUCCUGUACUUUCAUAGCCUGGUUCCCGAUGCCUUCCGAUGUGGAAGCAAUCGGAAGCAUAUAGGAUCAUGCGCUCGUCCUUUUCCGUAACGGGUUCAUUUGCGGUUACGGAAAUAGCCGAGUAGUUACGAUUGAGCCUUGCACAUAGUCUGGUUUCCGCCCCCGUCACUCCUUGAUCACUUGUUUUGGGGCGGGGACCAGACUGCCUUGCACAUCGGAUCGGAAAGCCUCGGGAACAAGAUGAGCGGUUUCAUAGUUAUAGAGUUAUCUUUCUUGACGAAUCAGACGACACAUGCACGAGCAGCACAAAAAUGGACGCUGGAAGCGAAGUUGGCAAAAGUGACCGCCACUCAGGGGCUUGUCUUGAAGAAACAGUGAAAAACAUUCCUAGGCCCAUUGUCACCUACAGUAGCUCGACUCAGGCCAACCUGUGAACUAUGACAGCUUGUCUACUUGGAAAUUGGUCUAAAUCUCACACAUGUUGCCACUCUGGUCAAUAUAAUCUCAUCCGAGUUGGUCCCAGAUCAGGGUUCAAGGACAAAACAAGACCACGCCUCUCCAUAGCCAGAUUCCAGUACAGCUUGACCUACCCUGCUAGUGGAGGCUGAACAUCUCAUUAACCUGCAGUCUUACCUGAGUGUAGAUACGUGUGGGAGUCCUCGUGUACUCUAAGAAGAGUUGGAGAAGUAUUCAGUUUUCUUGCAAAAGUGUAAAGAGAAUGGUAGAUAUUACAGUUAUCUCCCUUAGACUAGAUGAAUGACCUUAAAACAAUCAUGUAAUUUUAGAUAUUGCUUUUGAAAUGCUUCAAAUCUGGUCAUUUGUCAAAAGCGUGACUUGUAACUCCACCCCUCACUUUAUAUACAUUCUACAUGUUGUCUGCGUGGGUUCGAAUCCCGCUCGCGCCAGUAAGUGAAAAAGUUUCCCAGUUUACUUUCGGAAGGUCGGUGGUCUCUUCCCAGGUACAUUGUACAGGUAUCUGGGUUCUCUUUUCCACCAAUAAAAACUGGCAUCACCAUUUAACUGAAAAAAAUUGUUCAAUGUGACAGGGGGAAAAAUCAAUUGAUCAUUCUACAUUUAGCAGCAGAUUACAUGAAAACUAGUGAUGCAAUUGAUUGAUUGUCAUUGAAUUACACUCAAUCUUACUUCCAUGUCUGAAUUCUGGUCGUUCCAGCACUCAUUGCUACAAUCAUUUUUCAGCUUUCUUGGCCUCAAGAGAUGUUGGCAUCCUAACCACAGAAGCAGUUCCUGUCCUUUAGAAUUGAGGGAAGGUAUCUUACCAUCUGAUCUAUCUCUGGCGACCACCUUUCGUAUGCAGUCGAUGGUCAAACUGGACUGGUGUAAGAAAUAGCGGUACAGUAUAAGGAGGUGAUUGGAUGAAUGGAGUUCUUCUCAUAUCCCACGAACCAUACUGAGGUCAGUCUGCUGGACUUCAACAGAUUCUGAUCAACACCUUGGUCAUUCAACUAGACCGGAGAGUAGCCUCGGCCUGCCAAAUUGUUAAUCUAACUGAAUUGUGGAGAUUUAGAUUCGUGAUGUUUAUUGACGUGAUAAACAGAAGACUGUGACCUUGUAUCUGAAGAUCUGUGAAGGAGGUCGGACGUUUGUGGUCACUCUCUGUUACAGUACUACAUAUCUAAGUAAGU